GAACCACCCCAACGGCUUCCUGACGGGGUGGGGAUAUCAACAACGGAGCA
rfam:Thioclava sp. 25B10_4, complete genome.